UAUAAAACAAAUAAUGAAUGUUUUUAUUCGUGCAAUGGUAAGAAUAUUUUCAUUCGGUGAAAGAUGGAAUGUUCCAUUCAACUCGGCUGUCGCCUCGUUGAAUGGAACAUUCCAUCUUUAAUUCACCGAAUGAAAAUAUUCUUACCAUUGCACGAAUAAAAACAUUCAUUAUUUGUAUACUA
rnacentral:miRNA from 1 species